CCUGUGCUCUGCAGUCCCAAAGGGGUGGAGCCAAGUGACUAUGACUUCAGCCCAUAUAGUUCAAUUGUAAACCCAAAUCUUUCUUCCUUUGAAGUUAAUUUCCUUGAGUAUUUCAUCGCAGCAAGAGAAGCAAUUAACACAUGUGAUCACCAAAAGGGAGGAAGAGACCUAGUGAACCUCUUCAGUUUCGGGGACUUCCUGAAGCCUCUGAGAAGUUUACUUCCUGAGUUUAAGGAGUUUCCAGGAGGAUGGAAUGUGCCAUCUCCCUUUAGAACAUCAUGUGUCUUAACACACCUCCCUCCAAGAUGGAAUGUUUUGUCUCAGAGGAAUUGCUACACAAAACUUCCCCAUAAGACCUACAAAUGAAAUCUGAGGGACUGUGGUCCCGCCCCUGAGGCCAGCACUGGGCUUUCUCAACAUGUGUGAGCCUCAAGAGCCUCUCCUUCCCAGACUGAAGCUUUGAACCAAAGACGUAAUAAAAUAAUAUUUUUUUACUUUC